rnacentral:rRNA from 1 species
GAUGAACGCUAGCGGCAGGCUUAACACAUGCAAGUCGAGGGGUAGAGUGGCUUCGGCUACUUGAGACCGGCGCACGGGUGCGUAACGCGUAUGCAAUCUACCUUAUACAGGGGGAUAGCCCAGAGAAAUUUGGAUUAAUACCCCAUCGUAUUUUCGAAUGGCAUCAUUUGAUUAUUAAAGUUCCAACGGUAUAAGAUGAGCAUGCGUCACAUUAGCUAGAUGGUAAGGUAACGGUUUACCAUGGCUACGAUGGGUAGGGGUCCUGAGAGGGAGAUCCCCCACACGGGUACUGAGACACGGACGAGACUCCUACGGGAGGCAGCAGUGAGGAAUAUUGGGCAAUGGUCGCAAGACUGACCCAGCCAUGCCGCGUGCAGGAUGACGGUCCUAUGGAUUGUAAACUGCUUUUGUACAGGAAGAAACACUCCUACGUGUAGGAGCUUGACGGUACUGUAAGAAUAAGGAUCGGCUAACUCCGUGCCAGCAGCCGCCGUAA